rnacentral:misc_RNA from 1 species
GUCCUGCCCCUGUUAAAUCCUUUCAUGGUCAUUCUUAUUUUGUUCUAUUUGUUGAUGAUUAUACACGUUUCACAUGGGUUUAUUUCUUGAAAAAUAAGAGUGAUGUUUAUAAUACCUUUCUUCAAUUUGAGCAAAUGGUUAUUCGUCAAUUUAAUACCAAAAUUCGUGCUUUUCAUUCUGAUUGGGGUGGUGAGUAUCAAAAAUUGA